GAGUUUGAUCGUGGCUCAGAAAGAACGCUGGCGGCAUGCCUAACACAUGCAAGUCGAACGGAUUAAUUUUGUAGCUUGCUAUAAAAUUAAUCAGUGGCAGACGGGUGAGUAACACGUAGGAAUCUCCCUUAUAGUACGGAAUAACAGUUGGAAACGACUGCUAAUACCGUAUACGCUCUAACAAGAGAAAAGAUUUAUCGCUAUAAGAUGAGCCUGCGCUAGAUUAUGGUAGUUGGUGGGGUAAUAGCCUACCAAGCCUACGAUCUAUAGCUGGUCUGAGAGGAUGAUCAGCCACACUGGGACUGAGACACGGCCCAGACUCCUACGGGAGGCAGCAGUGGGGAAUAUUGGACAAUGGACGAAAGUCUGAUCCAGCAAUGCCGCGUGAAUGAUGAAGGCCUUAGGGUUGUAAAGUUCUUUUAGUAGGGAAGAAAUAGACGGUACCUACAGAAAAAGACUCCGGCUAACUUCGUGCCAGCAGCCGCGGUAAC
rnacentral:rRNA from 1 species